rnacentral:rRNA from 1 species
UACGUAGGAGGCGAGCGUUGUCCGGAUUUACUGGGCGUAAAGAGCUCGUAGGCGGUUUGUCGCGUCUGUCGUGAAAGCCCACGGCUUAACUGUGGGUCUGCGGUGGAUACGGGCAGACUAGAGUCCGGAAGAGGAGAGUGGAAUUCCUGGUGUAGCGGUGAAAUGCGCAGAUAUCAGGAAGAACACCCGUGGCGAAGGCGGCUCUCUGGGACGGUACUGACGCUGAGACGCGAAAGCGUGGGGAGCGAACAGG